UAUAUAUAUAAUCUGCAGGAUAAUGAAAACCCUGGAUGCCUCAGGAUCUUCAGGCUUGGACCUUUUUCCUGAAAGGCGCAAAGAACGGCGAGAAUUGGGGAUUGCGAUGUUUCAGAAUUUUAUAAGGAGAAGCAAUGAGCAUGGCAAGAUCGCUAGAGCCUAGAGAUAAGCUGCACUGACUGUUGACUCCAACUAUGGUAUGGAUGAAGAACUGAUGAGUCAGACAUAUGCAUGUGAUCGUUUGACUCUGAAAUGUUCAGAGUUUCCGGCCUGUCCUAUUUAAAUCGUCCCAUGACCAUUUGACGGAUGAAAGCGACUGCUAAUCUUUAAUUUUUUGUUGAUGCUCAGAUAGCAUUUAUCAUUUUAAUUUAGUUCUGCUGGUGAGGUGUAGCUCAACUAUAGUGUCAGCAUUGCAUCAGGCACAAAUGAUGUUCAGAUAAUAUCUACUUUAUCCACUGAUCUAGCUCAACUGUGGUGUCAGCAUCGCAUCAGUCACAAAUGACCUAGGUAAAACUGUUAAUUACAAGAGAAAUAUUGGUGCCACGAUGGUCUCUGUCACACUAUAAUCGUUUUAGAAGCAAAUCGUUCCUGCAAAAUGAAGAAUUAUCUGCAACACACCUUGCAAAAACAUCAAAGCAAAUCUACAGGUUUUUUAGAGAAAAGGUCAACACCCGGCUUUUUAUCGAAAGCCACAUAGGCAGUGUUUCAGGCUUUCAGCUGGGGGCAGAGACACUGCCUAGAUUUAUUAACAUAUAUGCUAUGAAACGGAGAAAGUGACUACUUUCUCCGUUUCAUAGCAUAUAUGUUAAUAAAUUAGACAUAUAUGUGUGUCUAGAUUCAUUAACAUCUAUAUGAAUGUAAGCAAUGUUAAAAAGUCUUAUAACCUAAAACAGAGGUAGUACUUAGCUCUAGCCAACUAGCAAAACCAGAACUCUACACAAAUCUACAAGUUAUAUUGAGAAUAAUUUCAAGAAUUCAGAACACUGCAUUCCUUGUGCAUCAUCAAGAUCCAUUAAUCAGCCCACCACUACACUGAAUCGAAUUCUGAAGAACAUGAAACUAAAA